GAUGAACGCUGGCGGCGUGCCUAAUACAUGCAAGUCGAGCGAACGGACGAGAAGCUUGCUUCUCUGAUGUUAGCGGCGGACGGGUGAGUAACACGUGGAUAACCUACCUAUAAGACUGGGAUAACUUCGGGAAACCGGAGCUAAUACCGGAUGAUAUUUUGAACCGCAUGGUUCAAAAGUGAAAGACGGUCUUGCUGUCACUUAUAGAUGGAUCCGCGCUGCAUUAGCUAGUUGGUAAGGUAACGGCUUACCAAGGCAACGAUGUAUAGCCGACCUGAGAGGGUGAUCGGCCACACUGGAACUGAGACACGGUCCAGACUCCUACGGGAGGCAGCAGUAGGGAAUCUUCCGCAAUGGGCGAAAGCCUGACGGAGCAACGCCGCGUGAGUGAUGAAGGUCUUCGGAUCGUAAAACUCUGUUAUUAGGGAAGAACAUGUGUGUAAGUAACUGUGCACAUCUUGACGGUACCUAAUCAGAAAGCCACGGCUAACUACGUG
rnacentral:rRNA from 1 species